rnacentral:tRNA from 1 species
GCCCCCGUCUGCUAGCGGCUCAGGCGGCCGGACCCUCACUCCGGCGACGCGGGUUCGAAUCCCGCCGGGGGCACCG